CCGGGCGCACGGGUAAGUAACACGUAUCCAACCUGCCGUCUACUCUUGGACAGCCUUCUGAAGGAAGAUUAAUACAAGAUGGCAUCAUGAGUCCGCAUGUUCACAUGAUUAAAGGUAUUCCGGUAGACGAUGGGGAUGCGUUCCAUUAGAUAGUAGGCGGGGUAACGGUCCACCUAGUCUUCGAUGGAUAGGGGUUCUGAGAGGAAGGUCCCCCACAUUGGAACUGAGACACGGUCCAA
rnacentral:rRNA from 1 species